rnacentral:ncRNA from 2 species
UAUGAAUUAGGAAGCUAUGAAUCCAGGGUUUAAUUGGACGCUUAUACCUUGGAGGAGCUAGUAGCGUAACCGGCCAUGUGGUCG